rnacentral:rRNA from 1 species
AUUGAACGCUGGCGGCAGGCCUAACACAUGCAAGUCGAACGAGUGGCGGACGGGUGAGUAAUGUCUGGGAAACUGCCUGAUGGAGGGGGAUAACUACUGGAAACGGUAGCUAAUACCGCAUACCAUCGGAUGUGCCCAGAUGGGAUUAGCUUGUAGGUGGGGUAAAGGCUCACCUAGGCGACGAUCCCUAGCUGGUCUGAGGGGAUGACCAGCCAAACUGGAACUGAGACACGGUCCAGACGCGGACGGGAGGAAGCAGUGGGGAAUAUUGCAAAAGGGGCGCAAGCCUGAUGCAGCCAUGCCGCGUGUAUGAAGAAGGCCUUCGGGUUGUAAAGUACUUUCAGCGGGGAGGCGUUAACCGCAGAAGAAGCACCGGCUAACUCCGUGCCAGCAGCCGCGGUAAUAC